ensembl:lncRNA
GCUCUGAAGAUGGCUGCCUGGCUUUGUGUCCCUGAGUUCUUGUUUACCAGUGAGGCAUCCAACUCCAGGAUUCGUCUGUCUGUUGCUGUUGUUAUUUAGUCACUCAGUCGUGUCUGAUUCUUUGUGACCACAUGGUCUGCAGAAUGCCAGCCUUCCCUGUCCUUCACUAUCUCCCGGAGUUUUGCUAAAACUCAUGUCCAUUGAAUCGGUGAUGCUAGCCAACCAUCUCAAACUCUGUCGCCUCCAUCUCCUCCUGCCCUCAAUCUUUCCUAGCAUCAGGGUCUUUUCCAAUGAGUCAGUUCUUAGCAUCAGGUGGCCAAAGUAUUGGAGCUUCAGCUUCAGCACCUGUCCUUCCAAUGAAUAUUCGGGGAUGAUUUCACUUAGGAUUGAUAUUCUGCUUUUUUGGUGUUUGGAUUCGGUACUGAGGAUGUGAUGCUUUUCUUCAGAUCAGAGGCAACAGGCUGUAGUCCUAUAGGCCUAGGGUCCCCAGAAAGGUAGCCAGGAAAGGUCUCCCACAGCCCAUUCCCUUAAAAUAGUUUCAACAAUCCUUCCAUUCUGAGAUAAUCCCAGAAGCCAAAAUGCCAAACUAGGAAGGGAACUGGGUGGGGGCGUCUGCAGUGAGGCCGCCAUGCCCACCCCCACCAGCCCAAACAGAUUUGCCGGAGUGAGUUAUAAAUCUACUGGUACCAUUUCUUUUUCGUCACUUGCCUAAUCCUGUGCCCUUCGUUUCAUGUGCUGUAAUUAUUAACAUCUGCUUUCUGAGCCUGGCCCGCAUGGAGUUUGCAAAGGCAGUUUUCAGUCCAGAACAAUGGUGACAGCUGUUUCAUUUAGCCUAGGGCCAGCACUUCCUGUUCAGUCUACAUCUGCCCUCCUGUGUCCAAUUUCUGAUUCAGGGUUUUCUGUUUUGUUUUCUGGGUUGUUUUUUUUUUUUUUUCCUUCAUCUGACCUUACUAUAUGUUUAAGAAGAAUUUCUAACUUAACACUCCGGCUAGUAUUUCUAGCACAUAUGCUUAUUAGAUUGGCGACAGCCAAAGAGAGAGAUAGGAGAAAGCCAGGACUGUCUUCCGCAGCUAACAAGGUGGAGGGCAGACAGAGGUACAAAGGAGGUCUGACCAUGAAUCUAGGGGACCAGACUCAAGGAAACUUCUGGGCCUUGAAGUUGAAGUAUAGGCUCACCUCUCUGGAAGCUAGGCACAGGAAGAGCGGCCUUAGCUCACCUGUCCCCUGGCCCAGUAUCAUCUCCAUAGCUUAUUUGGUAAGAGGUCACCCAAACGUAUCUCUGAGGGAACCGUGUGUCUGGGUGGCCACCAACACACGGCGGCCCUUCUUCCUUGGGAAUCAAGGAAGCUUGUCAGAUGAAGAAACUAAACACCAGGGAGAGGGGGUGCUUUCCUGCAGUUGUCGCUUGGUCGAGCUUGAUGCUAUUGGACAGAGAAGCAAAGGAAGACCUUCUCCACCCUUCUCAGUGGCUCACAGGAAAAGAGAUCGGGACCUGCUCCCAGGUAGGAACAGUGAGGAGCCAGCGAACAGAAGGCACAGCUCAGGUGUGAAAGAGAUGCAGUUGAGAGGGGCCUUCUCCCCCAGAAUCCCCACCAGACGUCAGGGAUGCAGAGUCAGAAAGGCCCUGGACCUCACCCCCCGCCACCCCACCCUGAGAAGAACCAGCCCUCCCAACGCUUGGCUUGAGCCUGGAGCAGCACAGAGGCCACUCCUGCAGGCACAACGAUCAUCAAGGGCUAUCCCUAAAGUCUGGAAUCAAAGGAGCUGAUGGAUGGCCCACAGGAGGCUGGGCCCUAUGGCCCCAUUCACCCAGCUCUUCCAGGAAUGCCAGCCCCGCCCCUUUCCCUGCCCCCACUCACCAUCUCCCAGCCUCGCCCUCCCCCUUCCCUUCUCUCUCUCUCACUCACUUCUUUUCUUCUUAAAGUUAAUUGCAACUUUUUUCUCAGCGCCCUGAUCUGGAUAAGCCACAUCUCAUUAGAAAAAGAUUUAGCUGGAGCCAAAGCAGGCUGGAGAAGGAAUCCCUAAUCAACAGAAAAGAUUCGGGUGUAAUUGCUCUCUCCCACCAUCCUCCCCCUCCUUCCUCCAAUCUUUCUCUGCUCAUUAAUCUGAAAAGAAAGUCACAGUUGAACAUCUUGGUGUUCAAGUACCUGCUGCUGUGGCAAACAAAUCGAAGUACUUGGGGUUUUCUUUUGUGGGGGUGUCUGUAUGGAGAGCUUUGGCUGUUGUGUGUAGGAGUAAAGCAUUUUGCUCUUGUGGGUGUGUAAGAAGCACCUUGGUUGGGGGAGUAAAACUCUUUGGGGGGGGUGUGUGUGUGUGUGUGAAGUGCUUGGUUGUGAGGAAAGUGUGAGUGGGUGUGUGAACCCUUUGGUUGUUGGAGUGUGUAUGUGUGUGAAGCUCUUUGGUAUGAAGUGCUUUGAUUAUUGAGAGCGUGUGUGAAGCUCUUUGAUUAUGGAGAAUGUGUUUGUGGCGGGGGCAAGCUCUUUGGUUGGAUGGGGCAGUAAAAACUCUCAGUGCGUGUGUAAAACACACUGGUUGUUGGGUACAUGUGUUGUGGAUGUGGGAUAUGGUUGUGGGGUGUGGGAGUUGUUGGUCCAUGGGAUGCAGUGGAGGCCUUCAGUUGUUGGUGUGUGCUGGUGUGUGCGUGUGGUGCUUUGAUUGUUGGAUGCUUGUAAGUUCAUUCAUAUGCCCUAGUAGCCCCUUUGAUGGUUUCCUUUCGCCCCAACUAAAUCCCAACGGACGCUUAAAUGGCGACACAUAGAAGAUGAAUUUAGAAGCAAACCAUCUCCCCACGUAGGGAGAGGAGAUUCAUGAAGUGAGAACAUAGAUUUUUGAUUUGAAAUGUUUCUUCUUUUCUAAAGUGGUCAAAUCAGACUCUAAAUUGCUGAAAAAAACUGAAGAUGAGAGGCAGAAUGACAAAAAGACCCUGUAGAAGGUCCUGGAGCUGAAUUGACCCCAGCCCCCCAGGGAGACAGGUGGAGGAAGAGGGGCCAUGAGUCAAGGAACAUGAGCAACUUCUAGAAGCCAGAAAAGAUAAAGGAAAUGGAUUCUCCCCCAGACCCUCCAGAAUGAAGAGCAGCCUGGCUGACACCUUGAUUUUGGCCCAGUGAGACCUGUAUAAGACAUCCAACCUGCAGAACUCUAAGAUACAUUCACAUUGUUUAAGUUUUGGGUACUUUGUUGUUAAUUAGCCACAGAAAACUAAUACUGUAAGAUAUUCCAGUAACAGAGGUGAUUAAAGUCAAGUCGAGUGGAUGUGAG